GCUUACGGCCACACCGGCCUGAGUACGCCUGACUCUGAUCUCGUCCGAUCUCGGAAGCUAAGCAGGGUCGGGCCUGGUUAGUACUUGGAUGGGAGACCGCCUGGGAAUACCAGGUGCUGUAAGCU
rnacentral:rRNA from 1 species